UACGUAGGUGGCAAGCGUUUGUCCGGAUUUACUGGGCGUAAAGAGCGCGCAGGCGGUCGUUCAAGUCGCGUGUGAAAGCCCCCGGCUCAACUGGGGAGGGUCACGCGAUACUGAUCGACUGGAAGGCAGGAGAGGGUAGUGGAAUUCCCGGUGUAGUGGUGAAAUGCGUAGAUAUCGGGAGGAACACCAGUGGCGAAGGCGACUACCUGGCCUGUUCUUGACGCUGAGGCGCGAAAGCUAGGGGAGCAAACGGGG
rnacentral:rRNA from 1 species